UACAGAGGGUGCAAGCGUUGUCCGGAAUCAUUGGGCGUAAAGAGCGUGUAGGCGGCCCGAUAAGUCCGCCGUGAAAGUCCAGGGCUCAACCCUGGGAUGCCGGUGGAAACUGUCGGGCUAGAGUCCGGAAGAGGCGAGUGGAAUUCCUGGUGUAGCGGUGAAAUGCGCAGAUAUCAGGAGGAACACCAAUGGCGAAGGCAGCUCGCUGGGACGGUACUGACGCUGAGACGCGAAAGCGUGGGGAGCAAACAGG
rnacentral:rRNA from 1 species